UACGUAGGGUGCAAGCGUUGUCCGGAAUUAUUGGGCGUAAAGAGCUCGUAGGCGGUCUGUUGCGUCGGCUGUGAAAACCCGGGGCUCAACCCCGGACCUGCAGCCGAUACGGGCAGACUAGAGUUCGGCAGGGGAGACUGGAAUUCCUGGUGUAGCGGUGAAAUGCGCAGAUAUCAGGAGGAACACCGGUGGCGAAGGCGGGUCUCUGGGACGGUACUGACGCUGAGACGCGAAAGCGUGGGGAGCGAACAGG
rnacentral:rRNA from 1 species